rnacentral:rRNA from 1 species
CGUGUAGGCGGUUUUAUAAGUCUGAUGUGAAAGCCCCGGGCUCAACCUGGGAAGUGCAUUGGAUACUGUAAGACUUGAAUACGGGAGAGGGCAGUGGAAUUCCUGGUGUAGGAGUGAAAUCCGUAGAUAUCAGGAGGAACACCGGUGGCGAAGGCGGCUGCCUGGACCGAUAUUGACGCUGAGACGCGAAAGCGUAGGUAGCAAACA